rnacentral:rRNA from 1 species
UAGGGAAUCUUCCACCAAUGGGCGGAAAGCCUGAUGGAGCAACGCCGCGUGUGUGAUGAAGGGUUUCGGCUCGUAAAACACUGUUGUAAGAGAAGAAUGACAUUGAGAGUAACUGUUUAAUGUGUGACGGUAUCUUACCAGAAAGGAACGGCUAAAUACGUGCCAG